AGGAUGGGGUGGCUAGUAUUUUACAAUGACAAAAACAAGAUGAAAAGAAGAAAAAAAACAUGUAACAAAGAAAACAUAAAGAAUAAGGUGAAGGAGGGACAAAGUACAUGGUCACCCUUGGGGUGGUGCGUGACAAUAGGUGGUUGUUAGUGUAAAGGAGAUACGGCGUGGUGACUUCGCAAGAAGAGAGUGAUAGGGGAAAUUGACGAAGCUGCAAGUUCUUCCGCCGCCUCAACUUCCAGCGCACUGGAAGGCCGAGGGCGAUGGGGAUUGCUUAUCAUUUUAUUAAUUCAUUCGUUCAUUAUAUAUCAUUUUGUAUUAUCUCCUUUGAUGUGGUUAUAAUUAUAAUUUCAUGAGAUGAAAUGAAAUCAGUAUUAAUAUUUAUUAGUUUUUGCUA